UCAAUUUAGGGCAGAAUACGCCGCUUGCAAAAAAAUGACACUAACCGACGUUUUAAUACGCGUCGGUUAUUUUUUUGC
rnacentral:sRNA from 1 species